AGGAUAAACGCUGGCGGCGUGCCUAACACAUGCAAGUCGAACGCCCUGUUGAGCCGUAAGGUGCAAGAGGGAGUGGCGGACGGGUGAGGAACACGUGGGUGACCUACCUUUCAGUGAGGAAUACCGGCGAGAAAUCGCCGACAAGACCGCAUACGGUUGCAGCUUCAAUGCCGCAACGAAAGCUUUUUUCGCAAGAGGAGGCGCUGGAAGAUGGGCCUGCGGCCGAUUAGCUAGCUGGUGGGGUAAUGGCCUACCAGGGCGACGAUCGGUAGCUGGUCUGAGAGGACGAUCAGCCACACUGGGAUUGAGAACGGCCCAGACUCCUACGGGGGGCAGCAGUGAGGAAUUUUCGGCAAUGGGGGCAACCCUGACCGAGCAACGCCGCGUGCAGGCGAAGGUCUUCGGAUCGUAAACUGCUUUUCUGUGGGAAGAGGAACGGACGGUACCACGAGGAAGAACGCCCCGGCUAAACGUACGCGCCAGCAGCCGCGGU
rnacentral:rRNA from 1 species